GAUCUGUGACCCGUAAAAAUAAAAUAAACCCGCAUAACCUCCGGGACUGACGCAGAGUCGCUCUGUGCUUCAUGAGUGUGAACUCUGAGAACCUGCCAGAGGUAAAUUCACGUGUUUGGUGCCGUUGUUUGAAACGUGUGAACAACGAGCCGAGUUUCUAAUCGAUGCUAACCUUUAGCUUAGCUUAGCCGCCUCAUAAGCUUUCAGCUGUUAGUUCUGCAUUGCAGCUAGCAGUUGCUAAUUCUCACGCAUAUUGGGGGUUUUUCGCUAUGAAUUAGCCUUUAGCUCAUUUACUAAGAGGAAUUAAGUGAUUCGGGGCCGGAUAUUUGCCGUUAGAGGGAGAAUCCUGGACCAUUGAGACCAUUGAGAGGCUGUAGCUGCUGGACUUGACCCUGGGUCCUGCGCCGUGUGGCCGGAAGCUCCGGUCACCGCUGGAACUGCACCUGCUCUUUCCCCUUUUCCCCUUUUCGCCCCAUCUUCAUCUCUGACUGUGCUGGACUCGUCGCGUCAUGAAGCCUCAGGACAGAUGAAGCUCCUGGUUUUGAAGCAAAGACUCUGAUGUUGAUGCUCUGCUGCCUCCAAGUGGCCGAGGAGGGAAUGAAGCAGCUGCUCAUCAAUGAAUCAACUCAAAUGUUGUGAUGAACUGAUGUAUUUUACAGACUCACCUGCAUCCGAUGGACACAGCAGCAGAAUCUGACGUCUGAUCUGAAGAUUCCUUCCUUUAAACAUCCAUCAGGUAAUAAUCCAGCGGCAGGACGUCCUCAGCUUUUAUUCCAUCACUUCUUUUUUUAAAACAACAACAAAAAAAAACUUUUCUUUUUUUCCAGCUGCUGGAUGAUCCAGAGUCCAGGGAGAGAUUCACUGAGAUGUUAAUGGAUGAAAAACAGCCGUGGCCUCUCUGCAGACUCUAUUAGCGAAGCUGAUGAAACGUCCAGACUGACACGGGCUCUGAAAAACAGCGUCGAUGCAGAAUCCAUCACAUCACAUCCUCCUGGUCUGGUUCAGGCUCCAUCAGCUGCAGCCGCGACACAAACCGAGCGUUCAGACGUAUGAAGGUCGGACGGUCUCUAUCAGAUUUAAGAACCAGGAUGUGACGUUAGGACCAUCUCAAUGGUUACAGCUUGUUAAAUGAGCUCAUUAAUAAUUAAAUGUCCCGCUGUAACACUGGGAGCCCUGACAUCAGGGAUUUAGUGGUUUUUGUGCUGAUUGGACCUUUCAACAAUGAAUAAACAAACAUAUUUAGAACCAGUUCCACACAGGAAUUUAGAUCUGAGCAAGGAAACAGUGUUUUCAUUGUAUUUGAGGUUAUUUCUGUUAGUUCUGUAGACAUUUCUAUAACCAGACUGAAACCAGUUUAAAAAACAGAACCUGGCAUUAAGCAUUUCAAACCAGUUCAAACCAGGAUCCAAACCCAGUCUAAAACCAGCUCUAAAAUCAGCUCUAAAACCAGUUAAAAUAAAGGUGUAAAAUCAGUCAAAACCCAGUUCAAAAGGUCAUAAAACCAGCAUAAACAAAUAUAAAACUGAAACCAAUCUAAACCAGUUCAAACUGAUCCAAAAACGAGUCUAAAACCAUUUUAAAAGACUGAAAAACCAGGUCCUGAACCGUAAACCCCGUGUGAACCUCCUUUGUUUCCCUCCUCCUCCACUCGUCUCAUCGGUCGGUCUGAGCCUCACUUCAGUAACUUUUAUC